rnacentral:rRNA from 1 species
ACACAAGCGGUGGAGCGAUGUGGCUUAAUUCGAGGCAACGACGAAGAACUUAUCCUGGGUUUGACAUGUACGGAUUAACCCUGUGAAAGCAGGGCCACGCUCGCAAGAGUGGAACGUGCACAGGUGCUGCAUGGCUGUCGUCAGCUCGUGUCGUGAGAUGUCGCGUUAAGUCGCUAAACGAGCGAAACCCCUAUCUUUAGUUUGCCAGCGCGUCAUGGCGGGGACUCUAAAGAGACUGCCGGUGUCAAACCGGAGGAAGGCGGGGAUGACGUCAAGUCCUCAUGGCCUUUAUGCCCAGGGCUGCACACGUGCUACAAUGGGGCGUACAAAGCGCCGCGAAGUUGCGAAACCAAGCUAAUCGCAAAAAGCGUCCCCCAGUUCGGAUUGAAGGCUGCAAUUCGCCUUCAUGAAGCCGGAAUCGCUAGUAAUCGCCGAUCAGCAUUGCGGCGAUGAAUGUGUUCCUGAGCCUU